AUCCAAAUCCAAAAUCUCAAAUCCUCAUUGAGUAGGCCAUGUUGGCAUAUCACUUUGUGGUGUGGUACUCCAAGAAACAGUUUUUGUCUUUCGUAAAGCACAGAAGUACUUUGCACUUCAGGCAGGCCAUUUGCGUGUAGCCAUUCUUGCACAGUCUGCAACAUCCACGUUUCUCAGCAUGAAUGGGAAAAUGAUCGCAUCGGUCGAGUCUGACGUCAACCGAUGGUGCAACGAUCCGCUGAAGUGGAGGUGGAGGUGGAGGUGGAGGUGGGGCAGCUUGAUGGGAUGUUGGAUCAUCUUCCAAUGACGGUCGUCCUCUUUUCCUGCUGUUCAAGUCAGCCUGUUUGCCAACCUUGAUGAGGGCAUCUGCAACUUGAACACGGAAGUCAAGAAGUGGCAUAUACUUCUUCUCCUGCUUCUGGGUGAGAUGACGGCGAUAGAGGAGCCAGCCAUUGACCAAUGAUAGGUCAAUCAAGUAGUACAAGAUGCGCAGGUACCAUGACGUGGGCGGAUGUCAAUGCGAUAGAGAGCUGCAAACAUGUCUGCUAAGUCUACUCCUCCCAUGUUGUGGUUGUACACCUUGACAAUGUGGGGUCUGUCCACUUCCACAUAUUCCUUCUUCUCUUUUGACCACCUUCUGCAUCUCUUGUUGCUAAUGCACAACCAAGUCCUGCAGUGGUACUUCUGAGUAAAAAAACCUCAUAAAAUAUGUAUGUGGGGUAAUCAGGUUGUUAGUUUUUAACUGUUGCAAAUCGGCAACGCCUGCCUCAAGAGGGUUAACAUUAAAAAUGUUUUAACUUUAAUUAUUUAACUUUAGAACAUCCAUGAGGGGGAUAUAUGUGGUUGCCAGUCUUGAGGACCACCAGCACAUAGCCAUACAGGAAAGAUGGAGGGUCCGGAUACUUACUUUACACUUAAUGGAGCGCUAUGAAGAAAAGAUGCGUGGUUCAGCCCUUGCAGAACUCAUAGGCCAGCAACUGGAUUUCUGGAGGAGUGUCUAUGUACUGUCAGGAAAAGGCUUCGUUCUAUCAGGAAGAAGAAUUCAGCACCAAAGGAACCCCGAGAAAAUCUUGCCUGAUACUAGAAGUUAGGUUUGUUUCUGCUUUUUGCAGCAAUCUAAGGUCUGAUGGCUGCUUCAAAGCGUUUUUGUUUUUGAUGCAAGUUACCCAAAGUCAUGCACCCAGUAGUGAUGGGAAUUCCGGCUCUUUUUAGAGAACGGGCUCUUUCGGCUCGGCUCACUAAAAAGAGCCGGCUCUUUCAGCUCCCAACCGGCUCUUCAGGUUGUUUUGUUGCUUUAAUUAAUUUAUUAUCAACAACAAUGUAAAAUUAUUGCACAAAAGGAAUUGCUAAUGUAAAAAAACUUGGUUUUAUUUAUAUAUGUUUAUAUAUAAAUAUAUACGGUGGCCCCUAGAGACAAAGCAUGUACAAACUCCGAAACAAGUACAAACUCCAAAGCACGUAAAAACUCGGAAGCACGUACAAACUCCAAAACACUAUCCCAGGAAUAGAUGAAUCCUAGGACAUGAACCAAAUAUGAUCAAAUGAAUGAGGGCUCAUUUAGCUAUAAUGGAAGCGUAAAACCUCUUGCCACUUUUCCAAUGUGUUGAUGUAUGUUAAGUGCUGAAAUAAUCAUCAAUUUAUCAGUUUUUUAAGGUUAAGAGUUUUUACAUGUAAUUUGUUCUAAAAGUAGAGCCGACUUUACAUAGCAUGUCUUCAUGUGUGUUAACAUAUAUAUGUACUGUAACCAAAGACUGAUUUGAAGUAAUGGAUAUAAUAUAACGAAUUAUAUACUUUUGUGUUACUUGCUUUUUACUUUCAUUGAUAUAUUUUUUAUGAAUUUUGCUCUCUAUGUUCUAUGUAUCAUAUGGCAAUAAAAAUAUUUUUUUGAGAAAAUCUUUUUUGAGUCUAGUUUUUAUAUGCUGAAUUUUAUACUAAGUAGAAAUCUUAAUCCAAACGUUAAUGGUAACAUAACCCUUGUGAUGGGUUCUGAGUUUUGACCCAAUUUUUAGUAACCUCAACUUUAAACAGUGGUCAAUUUAACCCAUUUUUUUUGGUAACCUCAACUUUAAAUAUUGGUCAAUUUAACCCAAUUUUUGGAUAGUUAUCCUAACCCAGUCUGCUGGGUCAAACCAGUAACCCAACCCUGUUAAGUUGAAACAACCCAGCGUUGGGUUACAAAUUGGGUCAUUUUUAACCUAGCAUUUUUGAGUGUGUACUACUUACUGGUAUUUGGAUCACCUGUAAAGCCUGUAAAAAUGACUGGUUUAAAACAAAUCUCUGUGCACAGACAUGUUGUCAAGCUGAUUUUGCAAUAUUUUGAUAUCAGGAGGGCUUCCAUUUCCAGGCAAAGUGGACCAGAUCUUUCUUAGUUGCAGGGCGCGACUAGGGUGUACUGCUGGAAUUUCCAUUGCAUCUGAAGACCUGAAGCAGUCUGAAGUAAAGCUUCCCACAGUUUUGAUCUCCAGCUUAACACAGAGUUAAAGAUGCUGCCAGUGACAGUGACAGGUCAGACCAAGGAGCUAGUCUUAUCUCACAUACAGACACUGUAGAAAUGCUGCCUCUAGGAAUUGCAGUCCAGAGCUAUCCCUCUGUCCCUCGUGUGUGUUUACAGGUCUCAUCAAGGCCGGAGGUCUAAUAUAUGUUCUGGAGAAUUCUCAGUGGAUGCAGCCUAUGAAGGUUGCCAUUGAUGGCCUGCUAACAAAGAACCUCAGGCAAAAAAGAUUUCCUCACCAUGUACAGGCUGCCUCCAGGGAUCCCAGUAGCCUCUUACACCCCAUCAGCAAAGGUCACAUCUUGCACUGUGUAGAACACUAACGCCAGCUCAUUUCUGAACACCAGUCCAGAGAAACUCUUGGAGACUCAGCAUUAGUUUUUUGGGGGGGGGUUUGUUUGUUUUUUUUCUUUCAUUUAUUUAUCUUAUUUUAAUUUUAGUUAAUACAGACGGGACAGACAUCGCUGGGGGAUAGGAAAGGGAGAAAGAAAGAGAGGAAGGAAAAGAAAAACAGAGUGGAAGAGGGACAGUGAGAAAGGGCACUUAAAAAGAAAAAAUCUCCUGGAUCACCUGUUGAGAGAGGAAAAAAAUUAGAAAAAAAAGAAAACAAGCAAAAAAGAGAGCAACAUAAUAAAUGUAACACCAUAACAUUAAUCUAGCUAAGUGUAAUUCCAGUAAAUACUAAAUAUUGAAUGUUGUUGUGCAGCACGCAGGACUGAAAGAGCACAAUGUGCUUUGAGGUAGCAGCCAAGGAAGGUUUAGUUUGUGUCUAUGAAGAGUGAACGCCCGUGUGCACACCUGUGUGGAUCAGUGAACUUGUAUUCAGAAGGUUUCUCCAUGUAAUAAUCUGCUAGAGGGUGUGGGGAGCCAUAGCCCCGUCCCCCAGGGCAUGAAGCAGGCAUGGAGAAGAUCCAGGCCCCAGACAUCCAGAGGCCCCAGAGUGCGAGAGGCCAAGGAGGACCAUCGGAGGGGCAUCUGUGCCACCCUCCUGGGAAGACCUGAGGAGAUCCCCAGACAAGGGGUCACCCAGCAGCCACAGAGCAUUAGCCAAGUGGUCACAUGACUGCAUCAUAUGACUAACAUGCUUUAUCGUUUUCAAAAGUCUCUGUUUUCGCUGACCACACUGCGAUGCAAAAGCACCAUUUUCAAAUUUAUGCAUUUUCGAGAGCGUUUUUAAAUCGCUGCAUUUUCCUUGAGCGAAAACGCCGUCUCAGUGUGGACGGGAGGCCGAAACGGAGAGAAAACAAUGCGUUUUCAAACGAAAAUGCACUAGUGUGGACGUAGCCUAAGACCCGACCUGACACAAAGACACAGACGAACAGGCACAUACAGACACAAAUGUGCAUUCCCUCCCUCAUGCACACAUAUACCAAUAGACUCAGCAUUUGUGACAUCAUCUUAAAGAAACCAGUGAAACUCCACAUAUAGCAGCGGUGACCCUCAAAAGACUCUGUGGGUGGCUUAUUGCAAUAGUUUAUCAUUUACCGAAAUU
ensembl:lncRNA